CUCUAUAGCUUCUCCACCUCACAAUGAUCAACCUAUGGUUACUCGAAGUAAAUCUGUUCAAGGAAUGGCAGAAAGCAAUGCAGGAUGAAUUCUCAACCGUGCAUGCUAAUGAUACUUGGAGUCUAUGUCCACACCCAGCCAACAAGAAUGUAAUCCACAGCAAAUGAGUUUAUUAAGUGAAGCAAUGUCUUGAUGGUUCUAUUGAGAGGUCCAAGGCCUAAUUGGUGGCUAAGGGAUUCCAACAGCAAGAUGGUUUGGAUUACCCAAAAAAAAGAACGUUAGUCUUGUUAUCAAAAAACAGCAACCAUCAGAGUGGUUCUUGCACUUGCAAUUCAUUUUAAUUGGCCACUUAGACAAUUAAAUGUCUAAAAUGAUUUCCUCCAUGGGACUUUGGAUGAAGAGGUUUUUAUGGACCAACUUUUGUGAUUUUUUUAUUCAA